GGACUGGCUCUAGCGCAGCCCUUCCUCUGACAAAGCAUCAGCUUUCAACUCUCCCCUGCAGGAGCGGUUUGAGACCCGCAGGCACUCUCCAAUCCGUAG
rnacentral:vault_RNA from 1 species